rnacentral:rRNA from 1 species
AGGUCCCUCGCGGAUGGAGCUGAAAUCAGUCGAAGAUACCAGCUGGCUGCAACUGUUUAUUAAAAACACAGCACUGUGCAAACACGAAAGUGGACGUAUACGGUGUGACGCCUGCCCGGUGCCGGAAGGUUAAUUGAUGGGGUUAGCGGUAACGCGAAGCUCUUGAUCGAAGCCCCGGUAAACGGCGGCCGUAACUAUAACGGUCCUAAGGUAGCGAAAUUCCUUGUCGGGUAAGUUCCGACCUGCACGAAUGGCGUAAUGAUGGCCAGGCUGUCUCCACCCGAGACUCAGUGAAAUUGAACUCGCUGUGAAGAUGCAGUGUACCCGCGGCAAGACGGAAAGACCCCGUGAACCUUUACUAUAGCUUGACACUGAACAUUGAGCCUUGAUGUGUAGGAUAGGUGGGAGGCUUAGAAGUGUGGACGCCAGUCUGCAUGGAGCCGACCUUGAAAUACCACCCUUUAAUGUUUGAUGUUCUAACGUGGACCCGUAAUCCGGGUUGCGGACAGUGUCUGGUGGGUAGUUUGACUGGGGCGGUCUCCUCCUAAAGAGUAACGGAGGAGCACGAAGGUUGGCUAAUCCUGGUCGGACAUCAGGAGGUUAGUGCAAUGGCAUAAGCCAGCUUGACUGCGAGCGUGACGGCGCGAGCAGGUGCGAAAGCAGGUCAUAGUGAUCCGGUGGUUCUGAAUGGAAGGGCCAUCGCUCAACGGAUAAAAGGUACUCCGGGGAUAACAGGCUGAUACCGCCCAAGAGUUCAUAUCGACGGCGGUGUUUGGCACCUCGAUGUCGGCUCAUCACAUCCUGGGGCUGAAGUAGGUCCCAAGGGUAUGGCUGUUCGCCAUUUAAAGUGGUACGCGAGCUGGGUUUAGAACGUCGUGAGACAGUUCGGUCCCUAUCUGCCGUGGGCGCUGGAGAACUGAGGGGGGCUGCUCCUAGUACGAGAGGACCGGAGUGGACGCAUCACUGGUGUUCGGGUUGUCAUGCCAAUGGCACUGCCCGGUAGCUAAAUGCGGAAGAGAUAAGUGCUGAAAGCAUCUAAGCACGAAACUUGCCCCGAGAUGAGUUCUCCCUGACUCCUUGAGAGUCCUGAAGGAACGUUGAAGACGACGACGUUGAUAGGCCGGGUGUGUAAGCGCAGCGAUGCGUUGAGCUAACCGGUACUAAUGAACCGUGAGGCUUAACCUUACAACGCCGAAG